rnacentral:rRNA from 1 species
UACGUAGGGCGCAAGCGUUGUCCGGAAUUAUUGGGCGUAAAGAGCUCGUAGGCGGCUUGUCACGUCGGAUGUGAAAGCCCGGGGCUUAACUCCGGGUCUGCAUUCGAUACGGGCUGGCUAGAGUGUGGUAGGGGAGAUCGGAAUUCCUGGUGUAGCGGUGAAAUGCGUAGAUAUCAGGAGGAACACCGGUGGCGAAGGCGGAUCUCUGGGCCGAUACUGACGCUGAGGAGCGAAAGCGUGGGGAGCGAACAGG